rnacentral:rRNA from 1 species
GCGAUACUAGUGUGAAUUGCAGCCAUCGUGAAUCAUCGAGUUCUUGAACGCACAUUGCGCCCUCCGGCAUUCCGGGGGGCAUGCCUGUUUGAGCGUCGUUU